CGGAAUUUGUAAUUAUUUAUUUCUUCGCACCGGAAAAGAAUAACUUUUUUCCUCAAUACUUGGACACCAUGCACAGUUCGCACUUUUUCCUCGAUCUUGAUGCCUCGGAGAUGGAUCAGUCAGUGUAUCUCAUUCUGCGUUUCUCUCUAAACGGAAAAAUGAUACGCAGAAAAAAAAAAUUAACAUUCGACAUCUUCGCGGAGACGAGGAAAAACAUUUUCCUCAAUGCAUUCCAAGAUCGUCAUUAGAAAAUGCAAAAUUUUUUGAUAAAUUAAUAUUGGAAGAAAAUUAUAAAUCACUUGUGCAUAUUCUCCUUCGUAACCAUAAGCGAUGGAGCUAUCAAUUAUUGCGGAUUUUUAACAGCGGGAUAAGAUUGAUACUUCUUUGCUCUCAAUAUUGAUAACUCAGAAAUUAAUCAUUCAAUUUAGUUUUCCGUCACGUCAAAUACGAAGAAUUGUACUUAAAAAUAUUCAAAGGCAAACAUUUUCGCGUAGAGAAGAAAGAGUUUUCUUCCACGCAAACCAAUUCAUUAGAUUCUAAUAUCAUCAACGCAUUCCGUAUUUGCAACGCGUAAUAUCGAUCCAGUCGAGUUCCGCAGUUGGCGGAAAACGUUACAUUCGGAUCAGUGAUUUGAUUGAUCAGGAGCUAUCAUGAGAGUCUGGAUAUUCUUCAGCUUCGUGUGUUUCUCCUUUACUUCCGUUCGGGGAGAGCACAUUACGUGCCACGGUAACGCGGAAACUCAAAACGUAGCGAUCAAGACCAGGAACCAGGAGUGUCCCGAGUCCUGUAUGAAACUAGUGAAGUCUCUGCCUGAUGGUACCGUAGUGAUUAUACGUGGCUGUGGUAAAUUUAAGUGGGAGUCAUCAGCAGAGAACUAUCUUGAUGAUCUACAUUUAUCAACGAUGCAAAAGGAGCUAUUACUGACCUCCGCCCCUCUGGUCAUGUACCUGUGCGAUGGGGACUUUUGUAAUGACGGAUAUUCCUCGAAAUCUUUCUGGCUGACUUCACUUAUAGCCCUGACGAUCCUCUUUAUAAUUACUUGAAAUUAAUUUCAACAACUGAAAUAAUUAUGAUCUGAAUAUUUUUGUUAUCAAUUAUGCAAUAUGAACUAAUUAUGAGUGACUGAUGGAGAGUAAAGUGGGAAUAUCAAUAGAUAUUAUUCGAUGCCAUAAUUAAUUCACCUACUCCAAUAAAUACAUUAUUUGCUGAUUAUCGAGACAUCAUGUAACACAUGAUAAAUUUUAUUUACGCCUGAAUAAUGUGAUCAGUCGUUCUAGCGACAAACAGGGGUGAAUUUAUCGUCCACUGAAUAUCAUGUACGAAUCGAAAUAAAACGUAAAACAGAAUUGGUUUAUCGAGAAUAAAUGUAAUCAGCCGCGAACGGUAAAAUCCGAAAUGCCUUUAUCAAAAGAUUUAUCUUGAUUUUACAUUUCACUACUGGAAUAUUCUAUCUGCAUGAAAGGUGUAUGGGUUGACUGAAAUUUAACAACUCUUAUCUUAUCUCCAAACUUUUACGGAAUUUUUAUGGAAUCGUCUCAUAAACUUGUGAAAAAAUCGCACAAAAUAUUCUUUAAAUGACGCUAUCGUGUGAAGUCGCACCGGAACUGUCACCUGUCGAAAAUUAUUGCAUUCACAGUCUCGAGAAUUCGCCGGUCAGUAUAUGUUCAUUAAAAAACAUUUUUGCAGCACAAGACCUGCCCUUAUGAUGAUCCCUUGACAUUGAUGCAUCAUUAGGCCGAGGUAUUGAACAACUAACACAUAUGUCAGGAUAAUAUACCACGUGUGCAGACAAUGGACAAUAGAACGUAGCAUUUGGCCGUGACAACAUCUCAUUGUUGCCCGUUGCCAGCGUCAUUGCAUCAGUAAUUAGAAUCAAUCGGAAGUUAUUGUCAAUGAAUUCAAUAGAAUGAUCUAAUAGGAGCCUUAGAAACUAAGUCAGAUGAAGACAGACGCGAGUCUUAAUUGCAGUAUCCGCUUUUCAAAAUGAAAAAAAAAUUACAUAAAGGAGACACUCCACAAAUUAAUUACUAAUGUAUCGAUAAUUAAUUUAUUAUUUGACAGAUUUGAAGUAAAUGUCGAUGAUUUGACUUUCGAAUCCUCCUUCAGCGUGUCACGAUCCUACUCAAGGACGAAAUCUUGGAAUCGGAGAGAAAUCUUUCGAACAACGACAUGCAAACGAAAACCCGUUUUCAUAUUUUCCCUUUCCAUUCCGCUUCCCAUUACCAUCUCAUCAGCGUUUGCGGGAAAUCUGUUUUUCCUCCGCGAAUACUACCACUGUUUCCCAGAAAUUUACGAGGGAGACCAUGCUAUCACAUCGACAUCUCGCCGAACAUCUGAAUUCACAAAACAUAAUAAUUUAUUUUCUACAGUUCUUGGCCUGACCCCACGUUAUUUUUCAGUUUUGAUCAAUCGAAAUCUGACUCAUUGUACAUUCCCUGUAGUCCAAUAGAUUACGUCGCAUGAUAAAACUUGAAAGCUCUCCAUUUUUCCCGGGAACGGUACGAGGAUUAUCCCAUUAGUCCUUUCGUCCCUUGUUUAACAUGGACGAUAACAGAAAUCGAUGGUACUUUAUCGGAGUUUUUUCGCGGGCGAACAUUUUCCGCAUAAUGCAUUAGUCAACGGUGCAGACAGUUUUUGACGAAUCGGAGAGGUCGUGGCAUCGUGGAAAAGCAGAAGGAAGAAUGAAGAUUGUAUUGGUGGUUGUUUUGGGUGCCCUCCCCUUCGGUCUCGGAGGUAACUUUACAUGCUAUCAUUGCGGUGGAUGCCAAGAUCCCUUCAAUGCAGAAGCUGCCAAGAUAGAGACGUGCACUUCUGCGUGUGUGAAAGCAGUCAUAAUGGCCAACAAUGGGACUGUCGCUACAGUGAGAUCCUGUCGCGAGAUCUUUGAGCCAAAGGAGAACAUUUCAUCCUCAGGAUUACCCACCGAUGUUGCACAAGUGCACUACUACCAAUGUGGAGAAAAUCUUUGCAAUAACGCCUACUCCCCUGUGGCCCCUGCGUCCCUAGUCUUCACUACCUUCAUUGCGAUAUUGAUUCCAGUUAAUGGAGUCAAUCGCCACUUGUUAUGAACAUCAUUUUUUAUUUAUGAUUCACGAUUGUAUCUCAAUACACGGUAACAACAAAUGUUAGAGGCUGCAUCGUUAUUCUUAUCUCUGCAUCGAAGUAUAGACGUUGAUUAUUUGCAUACGAUAUGUGGAGACAUUGAUUAUUUGCUGUGACUUCCCAGUGGCUUCAGUCAAGAUACUGGAAAUGUAGGUCACCUUUCGUUUCCUGCCACAGUAAUUUUUCAUCUCGUCAGAAAUAAAUCGAUAUCAAUGGCCAGGAAACACUCGGUAAUUUUAUUAAAACAGUGAAAAAUAGAGACAUCAUCGAAUGCUCUAUGAAAAUGUUGAAAUUACGAAUGUCAGUGACAAAACUAUUUCUGCUGCGUUUAAUUUUUUUUGUCACUACCGCUACGUUCAGCCCAUGUCGACAAGGGAUUUUUCGGUUACUUGUGAAUGAAAAGUCAAAAUUUGUAAAUGAAAAGAGUUUUCAUUUACUAGUAAACGAAAAAUGACAGUUCGACACUCCCUAAACGUAGGAUCAGUAACAAAAAGUGUAGUUCGGGUACACGUGCGAUGGAGUCUUUUGACUCGUGUGAUUGGGAACUCUUGGCUUCACCUCGGGCCGCCAACUUCACAGCCGAUAACACCCCGUCACACUUGUAGCGAUAUAUACUAUUCUUGAAUAAAUUUCGAUAGGACUUAUUUAUUCAUUUUUAAAUACCGAGGACAUCAAACUUUCGUGGUGAUAGAUCCUUUCAAGUCUCCAAUCUUGGUGAAUUGCUCGAAACACUUUCCCCAACUGUCUAACUACUUUUGUGAUGAGGGUUCAAGAUGUUUCGUACAGGAUGUUUUCUGCUCUCGGUUGUCUCUCUGACCGAUAAAAGGGUUGUCUCGAUGAGGAAGAGUAGCAACAGGGGAGAAUAAGGGUCGACAAUAUUGUGGAAUCAGGGAGAAAAGAACAUGAGCAUGAGAGUACAAUUACUCACGGAGAGAAAAAUUCUUGAAAAAUUACGUACCUCUUCCAUAAUCUACCGGUUAAAAUCGUAUACAGUAAAAAUGACGGAACAGUUAUGCAUUUUUUCACUGAACGUUCCCUACGUUUUCUGGAACGGUCAAUGAAAAGGUUGUAACCGUUCCGUAAUUUUGACAUUUCAAUGUAGAUGCGAAGAGAUAAUCUCGAAGGAAUAAAAAUAGUUCAAGUGAUGAUGUCAUAUUUAGUCAUCUUCGGAACUGGGUUUUUUUGCCGAUGAGUAUUUCGAUCUUAUUUGAUCUUUUGACAGCGAUUCUCAAUAUCGAGAUAAUACGUUUCUCAGAGAUACUUAGGUGUAACAACUCUCCCGUCACAGAAAGAACUGAUAAGGAUAUAUGGAUCCGAACCGAAUAAUGUAGACAUAAAUACUGAAUUUUGUCCGAAAAAAAAUUGUGGUGAAGUUGCAAAAUGAGUUGACUUAUAUUCAUCCUCGGAUAAAUGCGUGAAUAUCUGAAAAUUUGUGUCUAGCGAAAAUCUUUCAGGUCUUCAGCAGAAUCAUCAAAAAAAUUUCGGAGAAUCUCCCAAUCUGGGCGGUACAAAUUUAUCUUUGUCAAUAUUUUUUCAAUGGACUAUAUUGGCGAGCACUGAAAUAUUGGAUCGAGAUGAAACGAUAAGAUUGAAAUGUUCCCGGUACUAUCGAUUAUCAUCCGCUUAAAAUCCUCGGUUAGAGUGAACGGCCUUUCAGUUUUGGGAGAACAAUCUGUCUCGAAGUUUCAACAAGUGUAGUUACAAACUAACGUAAAAAUGAAAGGACUCGUAUUCAUUUCUAUCAUCGCUGUUGUAAUCGCUGUCGCUGAAUCUCGCGAAUGUUAUCAGUGCUUUCUGUGUGAAAGCAGUUUCCGUAAGGAAAGUGCCUUGAAAACUCAAUGCAUUUAUACAGAUGCAUGUCUUCUCGCGGAGGUGACAUUCAACAAUGGAACUGUAUUGACAACACGAGCGUGUGCCGAGGGGAUAGCAAUCCCAUCCUUCCCGGCUGGUAGAUCCGAGGAUGUUUAUCUAUCUAAAGCGGUUGUUAAUAUUUGCAAAGAGAACCUUUGCAACGGAGCAACUCUCAUCGGUUCAACAGCUAUAUUGCUAGCAUUCGCCAGUGUUAUUGUUCAUAAGCUCGCCGUUAAUUGAAAAUCACUACACAUAAUAAUUGAUUAUGGGGAAAAAAAAGAAAAUAUGGUGAAUCACAAAUAACUUGGACAUAUUUUCAUAGUUUUUAUUUCCUUCUCGCCGGAAUUAAUUAAUUUUAUUUAUUUAAUUUGCUGAAACUUCGAAGUUUGUGAAGCUGUAAAUGUAUAUGUAAACAAUUAAAUCGAUGAAGUAUCUGAUAAACUUUCUCUGAAUCGCAUUUCUUCACUAUUCUGACUACCUGCUCACCUGAAUAUAAUUAAUGAAUUUCCAAAAAGGGCGGAUAAUUAAUGUUCCGGAGAUUUGAGAGACGAAACAAAAAUGAAGAUUCUAAAAAUGCAAAAGGUGAACAAAAAAUUAUUUUGCUAAUUCCUAUCUUCUUAACAAAACCCUCACUCAAAGUUUUACCGUAUUUGUUUACUGAUGAUUCAUUGAUCAGCCGAGACACUCGAUACUAGUCUGGUCUAAAAAAAUAUGAUAGGCUUUAUCUAUUUUCUACCGGUGAUAUCACGUCCGCGUGAAACGAUAACUACCAGAAGUCGAGAAUUUAUCGAAACAGUCGCAUCACAAUUUACGGUUCGUCUGACUGCGAAACUCUUCUUCAAUUUCGUGGAACAUGAAGAGCCUUCACAUUUUUCUCAUUGCGACAACGAUCUUCUCCGUCGGUGAAGCUAUACUAUGUUACGGGUGUCGUGGAUGCAAAGAACCCUUCGAUUCCAAAACUGCUGAAAUUGUUAACUGCACUGAAGACGUUGUAAGUGGAGUCGUUUGCGUCAAAGCAAUUGUAGAAUUUAACAGUGGCAGAGAAUUAGUUGUUCGCCUGUGUGAAAGAAAUCCAAUAAUCGAUAGGGUAGAGGACCAAAAAUCGGUUUUAAAGGCCAGCACUGAUGUAGUAUCUAUCCAGAAAUAUUACUGCAGACAGGACAAAUGCAAUGACGCAGCAUCAGUCUACCCUCCCCUUUGGUUAUUAAUGAUUAGCAUCAGCUGCAUUAAUUUGUUAAGACAUGUUGUCCAUCAAUAAUAUAUGAUAAAAUAAUGCGCACCACAAAUAUAAAUAUGUGCUUUCCAAUAA